rnacentral:rRNA from 1 species
UCCGUAGGUGAACCUGCGGAAGGAUCAUUACCGAGUGCGGGCCCCUCGGGGCCCAACCUCCCACCCGUGUUGCCCGAACCUAUGUUGCCUCGGCGGGCCCCGCGCCCGCCGACGGCCCCCCUGAACGCUGUCUGAAGUUGCAGUCUGAGACCUAUAACGAAAUUAGUUAAAACUUUCAACAACGGAUCUCUUGGUUCCGGCAUCGAUGAAGAACGCAGCGAAAUGCGAUAACUAAUGUGAAUUGCAGAAUUCAGUGAAUCAUCGAGUCUUUGAACGCACAUUGCGCCCUCUGGUAUUCCGGAGGGCAUGCCUGUCCGAGCGUCAUUGCUGCCCUCAAGCCCGGCUUGUGUGUUGGGCCCCGUCCCCCCCGCCGGGGGGACGGGCCCGAAAGGCAGCGGCGGCACCGCGUCCGGUCCUCGAGCGUAUGGGGCUUCGUCACCCGCUCUAGUAGGCCCGGCCGGCGCCAGCCGACCCCCAACCUUUAAUUAUCUCAGGUUGACCUCGGAUCAGGUAGGGAUACCCGCUGAACUUAAGCAUAUCAAUAAGCGGAGGAA